AGCUUGAUCAGGACAACAAGCAAAAGACAGUAGAGGGGUCCAGGAGGUGCCCAGCUCCUCAGAUAACUGAAGUCUGGAGUUUUGCUUAUCUUUUCAGUUAGGGCUUUUUAGAUUCCAGUGUAAGAACAAUACAGAAAAUAGCCUAAAACACACAGACCAUCCUGUUCUCUUAAUAGUUCAGUAUCUGCAUAGAAACAGUUGGAUACAGAAUUCAGGUCAGUUGUUGGUGGGAUGAUAGACCAAAGUCCAUGCUUCCCUCUGUUCAUUUCACAAAUUUUGGGUUUUCUUCACUUGUCAAAGCAUUAGAAGAACCCUGCUAAGGAUUCUUAUUGUACAAAUGCAGUUGGAUUUAAGCUUUGGUAUAAGGACAUCUCUACCAGUGAAGUGCAGCUGAUGCUGUGAGAGCUUGAGAGGGCAUUUUCAGAAGAAAUACCUAGGACACAUUUUAUCAACUGCAUUCAUGAUUUCUGCAAAGAAAGGCUUGUGAAAAGGUGAAUGCUGGCUGAAGUCUUCAUGAUUAAGUUGUUUAAGAACCUCCUGACAGGCAUCCUGCAUCUCCUGCUAGAGCUGCCCAUCUGUC